rnacentral:rRNA from 1 species
AGUUUGAUCAUGGCUCAGAUUGAACGCUGGCGGGAUGCUUACACAUGCAAGUCGAACGGCAGCACGGACUUCGGUCUAAGGGCGAGUGGCGAACGGCAAUGUAUCGGAACGUGCCUAGUAGCGGGGGAUAACUACGCGAAAGCGCAGCCAAUACCGCAUACGCCCUUCGGGAAAGCGGGGGACCUUCGGGCCUCGCAAUUAGAGCGGCCGAUAUCGGAUUAGCCAGCUGGUGGGGUAACGGCCCACCAAGGCGACGAUCCGUAGCUGGUUUGAGAGGAGACCAGCCACACUGGGACUGAGACACGGCCCAGACUCCUACGGAGGCAGCAGUGGGGAAUUUUGGACAAUGGGGAAACCCCUGAUCCAGCCAUCCCGCGUGUGCGAUGAAGGCCUUCGGGUUGUAGCAAAGCACUUUUGGCAGGAAGAAACGGCACGGGAUAAUACCCGUGCAACUGACGGUACCUGCAGAAUAAGCACCGGCUAACGCCAGCAGCCGCGGUAAUACGUAGGGUGUAAGCGUUAAUCGGAAUUACUGGGCGUAAAGCGUGCGCAGGCGGUUCGGAAAGAAAGAUGUGAAAUCCCAAGAGCUUAACUUUGAACCUGUGACGAACUAUACUGAGCGAGUGUGCCGAGGGAGUGUGUGGAAUUCCGCGUGUAGCAGUGAAAUGCGUAGAUAUGCGGAGGAACACCGAUGGCGAAGGUAACCUCUGGGAGUAAUACCGACGCCGCGCAAUGAAAGUGGGGACAAAUAGGAUUAGAUACCCUGGGUAGUCCACGCCCAACGAUGUCAACUUAGCUGCUGGGGCCUUCGGGGCCUUGGGUAGUUGCGCGACAUGAAGUUGACCGCCUGGGGAGUAUUGGUCGUGAUUAAAACUCAAAGGAGAAUGACGGGACCCACAUAAGCUGCGGAUGAUGUGGAUUAAUUCGAUGCAACGCGAAAACCUUACUUACCUUGAUAUGUCUGGAAUCCCGAAGAGAUUUGGGAGUGCUCGCAAGAGAACCGGGAAACGGCUAGGUGCUGCAUGGCUGUCGUCAGCUUCAAGCCACGAGAUGUUGGUUGAGUCCCGCAACGAGCGCAACUCCUUUGGUCACAUACAUGAAAAGCAAUUUGAGUCGAGACUACCGUGACAAACCGAGAAGGUGGAUGACGUCAAGUCCUCGCGCUCUAUGGGUAGGCUUCACAUCGGCCAUAAGAACAGCCAAUAGAGCAGGAUCGCUAACUCCGCGAGGGGGAGCCAAUCCCAGAAACCCGAUCGUAGUCCGGAUCGCAGUUCGCAACUCGACUGCGUGAAGUCGGAAUCGCUAGUAAUCGCGGAUCAGCAUGCUCUGCGGUGAACAUGUCCCCGGUCUUGUACACACCGCCCGUCAGCACCAUGGAGAAGCGGCUGAAGUGAAGUUAGGUCGGUUCGUAUGGAGGAAGGAUUACUGAAGUAUAGGAUUCAUGACCGGGGUGAAGUCGUAACAAGGUAGCCCCAGCAUACCCGAGUGC